rnacentral:lncRNA from 1 species
AUUACAGUGCUUGGAUAUUCAUAUUUAAUGGACUCUUAUUGUGCUUUUUUUUCCAGUUUCCUAAGAAAGUACUGAGAAGGUGAAAGGAAGACUUAAAAGUAAAGGAAAAAAAAAAUCAAACCUGAGUUUCUGUGAAGCCACAACAAAUGGGCGUAUGAGAAACAUGCACAGAGAGCUCAGUGGUGCCCUUUACGUCCCUGCGCAGAGUGACUCAUUGAAAUGGGAUGCACAGCUGUUCAGAGUAGUACUCAACCUAUCUCCUGCUGUUGACUGAAGGACCGUGUCAGAAGAAAAGC